rnacentral:rRNA from 1 species
UACGAAGGGGGCUAGCGUUGCUCGGAAUCACUGGGCGUAAAGGGCGCGUAGGCGGCCAUUCAAGUCGGGGGUGAAAGCCCAGGGCUCAACCCUGGAAUUGCCUUCGAUACUGUUUGGCUAGAGACCGGAAGAGGUAAGUGGAACUGCGAGUGUAGAGGUGAAAUUCGUAGAUAUUCGCAAGAACACCAGGGGCGAAGGCGACUACCUGGCCUGUUUCUUGACGCUGAGGCGCGAAAGCUAGGGGAGCAAACGGG